AAAACCACUCUAGCAUGAAUGAGAGAGAAGAAGUCUACAAGAAGCACUCCUUGUAAAGUUUCAAAACAUGCUCAAAGCCUCAAAUUCAAAGUUUUAGACGAGAUGGUUCACACAUUUCAACAAUUACAAAUGAAUUGAAGGAAAUGGACUUCAAGCACUAAAGAUAUUAUCGGAAAGGUUAAUAGCCAAUCAAGUAUGACAUGAUUGUAAUCAAGGGAUUGUCACUAAUUAGAACAAAUACAAGAAUACUCGAACAAGGAAAGAGAAACAGUAACCAUGUUGUCAACCAAUCUACUUAUAGUGAUAGAACAAAAUCCAUUAUGUAUGGUAAUGUUCAAAAGUAUUUCAUAAUGAUAUUUGCUAUUUUGUUGCCCAUUUAUCA